rnacentral:lncRNA from 1 species
GCUUUUUAAUCGCCGUGGAUCCGGAGGACGAGGCGAUGUACACCUUGAUGACCAUGCUGGCGGGGAGCGAAGGGACGCGGAGCCGGGCGGGCGUGUGGGUGUGUGCGGCGCGGCGCGGCGCGGGCUGGCGCUGAGGAGGCGGCGGGAGGGCGGGCGCUGAGAGGCCGGUCCUGUGCUCGGCUCGCCCCGCCUCGCCGCUCUCACUGGGCUGCCGGCACGGCAGUCAGCGCCGCCCGGCCCGGAAGAGGGGAAAAUGGUCACAAAUAAAUAAAUAAAAAGGAAAGAAAGAAAGGGGUGAGGCGAAUUCUCGACGAACCACGCGAGACGUGCUCGGAGGAGGGGGCUGCCCGCUGCACGGCGGCCCGGAGCCCCGCUGGGGUGGGACGCGGGGAGGCGAUGAGGCGAUGAGGCGGGAGCCACGAGCCGUGAGCCAUGGCGGCCGAGCCCCGCGGGGCCCCGCGCACCGUCGCAGCAGCUUCAGGAGCUGAAAGCCUCGGAGAGGGGCUGGGGCCGCGCCGAAAUAGGCGGCUUUACAACAAAAACUGCGCUAGCCGUCCUCUCCCGGGCGGUCCUCAGAGAAGAGAGUGAAAUACAGCGUGUGUGAGGCACCGCUGCACACCUGAGUGCUCGGCAGGGCACGCGGCUCUCAGGGCUCCCUGCGCCGCACCGCGCUCCGCAGAGCUGCCCGGCAGCGCGUUACGGCCCUGUCAGACCUCACAGAGCUCCCAUCUCUGCCACACCAACCCUGGUUCGGGUUGAGUCUGAAGUAAAAAUCAGCCGGUUCUACAGAGACUGGACGUGUAUAACCCGCUGCAGUACAGGGAGCGGGAAAAGGCCCUCUUAAGAAAACAUAAUGAGUUGUAUGCGUAUGCUCCCUGUGCAAAUACAGGCACUUCGAUCUGAUGUUGUCUGACACGGGAGGGAAUCGAAGGAGCUAAAGAUAAGGCUGUGGAAGAGAACAGCAGGUAGGAAGAUGCUCUUGUCAGGAACUUUAUUUUGGGAGUGAGAGGAGAGACAGGAGGGCGGGAGAGGAGAAGCUUAGACACGGAGCGGUCAGGUUCUAGCAUCAGCUGAUGGCCAGUGCCCUUGUUCUGGCAGGAGAUGCUCCAUUCCUCGGCUUUCCGUUGGAGUGAGUGCAUGAGGCAGCACCUUGCGAUUCCAGCAUUGAGCUUCCUGCCCAUGGGCACCCUUAGAUGUUGCAGAUUGUCACUUGGAGAGGUGAGAGAGUCCAGUGGGAUGGGUAGAUGUUACUGUUUGAUAACACUGAAGUGCCUUUUAAAAUUUAUUUCAUUGUAAAAGUUGCUCUCCAAGCGAAAUGUUAGCCCAUGCCAAAAUAAAGGUAGCCUGAGCGUAUGGUAGAGUUCAAAGGCUCUGUUCUUUGGCUUCCCAGAAUUGUUGUAGUGCAUCUUCCACACAAAGCAUCAAAGAAGCUCUCGCAGGUCCCACUUGAGUCUGCCCACAGCCCCUCUGCUUCUCAUCUCCUUGAGUCCUGUGCCUUGGAAAGGGACUUUGCUGCUCAGUUGAAACCCCAAUGGGAAACCUGGAACCAUAACAUACUGCAAUUUCACUGCAUGGUAUUUUAUCUUUUCUAUUAAUUACAGCUGCUAGAUGAGACCUCAAAGAGUUCUUAAUUAUUAUAGUAAUGGUAACACUUUAUUUAGGGAAAUUUAUAUUCAGCACCUGUCUCCCACUUACCUCCAUAGGAAAGUACUCCAACUACCACCUUAAAUGUUUUGUUAUACAUUCUGAGAGCAACUUCACAGAAAAUGGAAAAUACUUAUCAUGAUAAACACAGCAAGCUGAAAUUUUACCAUCUACAAGCUUAGAUUAAAGAAAGGUGUUUUUUCUGGUCUUGGAAACAGGAGGAAGGUAUUUUCAAAAUGAUGUUUUCAAACAAAACAAGCCUUCCUAUGUCAAAUUAUUAGGUGGUUUUUCUUACCACAGGCAUGAUUGUCUAAAAGGGUUUGUUGGAUUAAAGGGUCUGUUGAAUUAAAUCUCUCACAUUCAUGUCAUUAAUUUCUCAACAGUGAGAGAACAAUUUUGAAGAUGACAUGCCUAAUUUUGGUGUUACUUUUAAUGUUUAUCUGAAUCUUUGAGAGUGUCAUGAGGUUGAUGUGUGUUUUGGAAAUGCAGUAAGCCAAAAUAUUUCAUUAGGAUGGUGAUACGCAAUAAAAACCGCCCAGUUUGGGGAGGUUCAAAAUUUAAUAGAAAUAAGCAGUGUGCUUUUUAAAACAAACAGAUUAAAAUUCUUCCAGGAACGUUUCUUCAGAUGUGUUUGCACAGCUUCCUUCAGUGCCGUUUGAGAAGUACGCUCAUAAUUCCCAUCUCCUCUGAAGCACGAUUCUCUGUGAUCCGAUUAACAGUAAGGAACAGCAGAGGCAGAAACUAAAGCUUAUCAGCCAAAAUGAAAACAAUACAGGUGGAGACCUGGGUAGAUAUAUUGAAUUGAACUCCGUGUUUACCUGUCCUUGCAAGGCUGAGCGACUGCCCUCUGACCAGCUCUCCUCCUCACAACGCCCUGCAGCUUCUCAGAGUUGAAAUUCCCCUGCAAUGCACUGCACCCUGCCUUUCCUCCCCGAGAAAAACCUGCCAUAAUCAUUGCUCUCAGAAGUGCACUUUAAAAGGCAUUUUAUCUUCAUGAAAGAAGAUUUAUAAUGUUAGAGUUAUACACCGGUUGGGUAUUACAGACAUGACUAGGUUUUCUUGACUCGCAAUAGUAAAUUUUCUACUCUAUUGGCAGAAAAGUGCAAUGGCUUUUAUUCCCAGACUACUCAUGUAAAAUCCAUGGCAUUAUUUUUGCUUUCAAAGUUAAACAACUCUGAAGUGUUUAAUUAUCCUUCUCCAG